GGAGAACCUGAAGCCUCCAGCCAAGAGCCAUGUGAGUGACCGUCUUGGAAGUCGAUCCUGAGCCCCAGUCAACCCUUCCAAGGCUGGAGCCCUGACUGACAACUUGACCACCAACCCAUGAGAGACCGUGAGCCAGAACCACCCAGCUAAGCCACUUCUAGCUUCGUGACCCUCAGAAAAGACUGAGAAGUACAAGACCAAGGAGCCAGCAGAUCGUGGUAUGAGCACAGGCUCCAGGCAUGGGCUCCAGGCACGGGGCUUCAGCAGCGCAGCACAUGAAAUCAUUUGUUGUGGCGCACAGGCUUAGUUGUUCUGCAGCAAGUGGAAUCUUCUCAAACCAGGGAUCGAACCUGUGUCUCCAGCAUUGGUAGGUGGAUUCUUAUCCACUGCAUCACCAGGGAAGUCUCUGAAGUGCAAUUCUUAGGGCCUCAAAUUUUAGGACACUGAUCUAGCGUCUGACAAUUGCUGGUUGGUGUGGGAAAACUCCCCCUUCCUCACUGGAAUUGGAGUCAGAAUCCUUUUAGGCAUUGAUCCCUCUGGGCAGCAGAGGGUGAGGUGCUAGAUGCUGGCCAAGGGAGUUCUCUCUGGUACCAGAGGGUGGGUGGACCCACCGGCAGAGGCCCUGUCAUAGGCAGCUGGCUGGCAAUGAUGACUCAGAUAAUGAUGACUCGGGUGAUGAUGCUGGGCUCCUGGACCAGUGUUCCACCCGAGGCCCUUUGCUAAGUCCUUUCACCCAACUCUUUCUGGCAGGAGGCCUCCUCCCUUCAUGGGCAACUACAAAACAAACCAGGCAAGUGCCAGUCAUAGAAGAGCGGGAAUAUUCAGUUCCUACCAUGAGACAAUGGCCUCUCCUUUAGAGCAUAAGCUAGGAAGGACAGGGACUGCGUCAGCAGCUUUGUAGACCCAGCGCAAAGCACAGGUAUACAUCGAGGGUGAUAAUACCAGCAACUGCCAUUUAUGAGCACUAUCCAGGUGCAGGACACUGCUAGAAGCUUAAUGUGUGCUCAAUCUUUUAAUCUUCACAACAGUUAAUGAGGUUAGGGCUAUUAUUUUCUCUAUCCCUCAGAUGAGUGAAACAAGGCUCAGAGAGGUCAAGGUAUUAACUCAAGGUUGGACACCUAGUAAGAGGCAGAGUAGGGAUUUGAGUCUUGGCUGUCUGGCUCCAGAGCCCCCAGUCUUAGCUUUUACACUCUAUAGCUGAUCAAGUAAUAAGGAUUAAUUUUAAUAAAUAUAAUAAAAUGAACAUGCCAAUAUCCCAUUUUAUUAAAGUAUACACAAAGUCACUUUUAGGGCCUCAGGAAGGUUAUCUCAAGGCUGUAGUUUUCCAUCCUCUAAAGCAGCUGAAACAUGAAACCGCUGUCUGGGUUUCAUUGACUACGCUAAAGGCUUUGACUGUGUGGUUCACAACAAACUGUGGAAAAUUCUUCAAGAGAUGGGAAUACCAGACCACCUUACCUGCCUCCUGAGAAAUCUGUAUGCAGGUCAUGAAACAACAGUUAGAACCAGACAUGGAACAAUGGAUUGAUUCAAAAUUGGGAAAAGAGUAUGUCAAGACUGCAUACUGUCAUCUUGUUUAUUUAACUUUUAUGCAGAGUACAUCAUGUGAAAUGCUGCGCUGGAUGAAGUACAAGCUUGAAUCAAGAUUGCAGGGAGAAAUAUCAAUAACCUCAGAUAUGACACCACCUUUACGGUAAAAAGUGAAGAGGAACUAAAGAACCUCUUGAUAAAAGUGAGAGAAGGGAGUAAAAAAAAGCUGGCUUAAAACUCAACAUUCAAAAAACUAAGAUCAUGGCAUCCAGUGCCAUCACUUCAUGGAAAACAGAUGGGGAAACAAUGGAAACAGUGGGGCUCCAAAAUCACUGCAGAUGGUGCCUGCAGCCAUGAAAUUAAAAGACGCUUGCUCCUUGGAAGAAAAGCUACGACCAACCUAGACAGCAUUUUAAAAAGCAGAGACAUUACUUUGCUAACAAAAGUCUGUAUAAUCAAAGCUAUGGUUUUUCCAGUAGCCAUGUAUGGAUGUGAGGGUUGGACUAUAAAGAAACCUCAGCACCAAAGAACUGAUGCUUUUGAAUUGUGGUAUUGGAGAAGAUUCUUGAGAGUCCCUUGGACUGCAAGGAGAGCAAAACAGUCAAUCCUAAAAGAAAUCAACCCUGAAUAUUCAUUGGAAGGACUGAUGAUGAAGUUGAAGCUCCAAUACUUUAGCUACCUGAUGCAAAGAACAGACUCACUGAAAAAGACCCUGAUGCUGGGAAAGAUUGAAGGCAGGAGGAGAAGGGGUUAACAGAGGAUGAGAUGGUUGGAUGGUAUCACCAACUUGAUGGACAUGAGUUUGAGCAAGCUCCGGGAGUUGGUGAUGGACAGGGAAGCCUGGCGUCCAUGGGGUCACAAAGAAUCGGACACGAUUGAGCAACUGAACUGAACUGAACAGAACAACUGGGGCUGCUUCCCAGGAAGUUCUUGUGGUAAAGAACCCACCCACUAAUGCAGGAGACACGGGUUCAAUCCCUGGGUCAGAAAGAUCCCCUGGAGGAGGAAACGGCAACCCACUCCAGUAUUCUUGCUGGAAAAUCCCUUGGACAGAGGAACUUGGCUGGCUACAGUCCAUGGGAUUGCAAAAGAGUUGGACACGAUUUAGUGACUAAACAACAACAAAACAGAACAACCAUUGAUGAAAAAGACUGGAACUGACCAGAAAAGAUUUUCUACAACUAAAGAUAUAAAGAAGGAACCAUCUUCUUUCAGGUAAAAUUCUGAAAAUACAGUGCUCUUCCUCUCCGAGCCAGAGUGCGUCAGCUUCAGUGUGGCCAAAGCAGACUUGCAGAAGGUGAGACUGGAGAAGGGAGACUCACUUCUCUGACACCAGUAAGUGCUUUGAGUCUCACCAAGAAAAAGAGGAAGGCCAUCAUCUAGUGAACAGCCUGUGGAUUUUGAACGCAAGCGCAUUCAUCUUCCAAAUGUUUAUGGAGCAUCUCCUGUGUGCUACUUUGUACCAGGUACUAUGCCAGGGGCUGAGGCUGUGAUGUCGAAGCAAUCAGACCACAUUCCUGCUGCCUUGAGGAGAGACAGAAAAUAGGCAGAUAAAUAAGAAAAAAUUCAGAUGUUGAUUGUUUCCGGACAUUUUUAAUAGGAUAAUUUGGUAGAUGAUUGACUGGAGUCUCCUUUGGGCUGAGCAUCAAAGAAGACCCCUCUGAGGUGACGACAGCUAAGUCUGAAAGAAGAGAAGGAUCCAGUCAUAGGAAAAGCAGGGAGAAGAGCAUGCCUGGGAGAGGACAGUUAUGCAAAGGCCCUGAGGCAGGAAGGAGUCUGUCAGCAUCUAGGAACAGAAAGUCACAAUUUCCCCCUAAAUGUUCACAAUGAUCACGUAUUAUUUUAUAAAAAGGAAAAAUACUACCCUGGAAAAAAGUUCAUACCCUUCAGCACUUGUGGGCAUCAAUCUUAGUGAAAUUUUGAAUGAAGAAAAAACUUCUAGGCACACUGAUAUUCAGGGUAGCAUCAUUAGUACUAGUAAAAAAUAGAAAAAACCUAAAUGCCCAGGUCUAGCUCUGUGUUUACAUAAAUUGCAGCAUAUUCACUUGUUGGGGAUUAUAUAAAAUUUUGAGAUAAAGCUAAAUGAAAACAAGCAGAAUAUAAAAUGGAUGCUCUCAGCUAUACAGAACUUUAA